rnacentral:rRNA from 1 species
AAUGAACGCUGGCGGCAUGCCUAAUACAUGCAAGUCGAACGAACAGACGAGGAGCUUGCUCCCCUGACGUUGGCGGCGGGCGGAUGCGUAACACGUGGAUAGCAUACCUCUACGACUGGGGUAAUUACGGGAGACCAGAGCUACUACCGGAUAAUAUAUUGAACCGCAUGGUUCACUAGUUAAAGACGGUUUUGGUGUCAGUAAUAGCUGAAUCCGGGCUGCAUUAGCUAGUUGGUAAGGUAACGGCUUACCAAGGCAACGAUGCGUAGCCGACCUGAGAGGGUGAUCAGCCACACUGGAACUGAGACACGGUCCAGACUCCUACGGGAGGCAGCAGUCGGGAAUCUUACGCAAUGGGCGAAAGCCUGACGUAGCAACACCGCGUGAGUGAUGAAGGACUUCGGAUCGUAAAGCGCUGUUAUUAGGAAAGAACAAAUGCUUAUUUAACCAGGCACGUCUUGACGGUACCGAAACAAUAAGCCACGGCUAACUACGUG